UGGGGAAUAUUGGGCAAUGGGCGAAAGCCUGACCCAGCCAUGCCGCGUGAGUGAUGAAGGCCUUAGGGUUGUAAAACUCUUUCGCCGAUGAAGAUAAUGACGGUAACCGGUAAAGAAGCCCCGGCUAACUCCGUGCCAGCAGCCGCGGUAAUACGGAGGGAGCUAGCGUUGUUCGGAAUUACUGGGCGUAAAGCGCGCGUAGGCGGCUAUCCAAGUCAGGGGUGAAAUCCCGGGGCUCAACCCCGGAACUGCCCUUGAAACUAGGUAGCUAGAAUACUGGAGAGGUGAGUGGAAUUCCGAGUGUAGAGGUGAAAUUCGUAGAUAUUCGGAAGAACACCAGUGGCGAAGGCGACUCACUGGACAGUUAUUGACGCUGAGGUGCGAAAGCGUGGGGAGCAAACAGGAUUAGAUACCCGUGUAGUCC
rnacentral:rRNA from 1 species